AGUGAACGCUGGCGGUAGGCCUAACACAUGCAAGUCGAACGGCAGCACAGUAAGAGCUUGCUCUUACGGGUGGCGAGUGGCGGACGGGUGAGGCAUACAUCGGAAUCUACUUUUUCGUGGGGGAUAACGUAGGGAAACUUACGCUAAUACCGCAUACGACCUACGGGUGAAAGCAGGGGAUCUUCGGACCUUGCGCGAUUGAAUGAGCCGAUGUCGGAUUAGCUAGUUGGCGGGGUAAAGGCCCACCAAGGCGACGAUACGUAGCUGGUCUGAGAGGAUGAUCAGCCACACUGGAACUGAGACACGGUCCAGACUCCUACGGGAGGCAGCAGUGGGGAAUAUUGGACAAUGGGCGCAAGCCUGAUCCAGCCAUACCGCGUGGGUGAAGAAGGCCUUCGGGUUGUAAAGCCCUUUUGUUGGGAAAGAAAAGCAGCAGGUUAAUACCCCGCUGUUCUGACGGUACCCAAAGAAUAAGCACCGGCUAACUUCGUG
rnacentral:rRNA from 1 species